AAAUUUCUUUCUUCCGGCGCGUUUCUUUGGAUGACUGGAAGCUAAUAUCACUUCUUCAUCGGAAAAAUUGGUAGGGCGGCUCCUUCCGGUACUUUCAGAUGCGGUUGAGGAUUCCGGAAAUUCAGUUGGCCAUGAAAAAGUUAGUGGGUCUGAGUGACAUGAUAUAUUUUUCAUAAAUUAUUUUGAUUUUGAUUUUGAUUGUUGUGUGAAGUAAAUAGACUGAAUUAAAUAAUAGAUUAUAUUGAUGUGUAUGAAUUGAAUUGUGAGAUAGAUAAUUAAAGGGAAUGUGAUUAUUAUCAGUGUGGUGUGUAUAUUCAAGUAGGAUGAUUUUGAGUGUAUAUAUAGGGGACUCUGCGUUUGUGACGCGAACAAGGGAGUGUGUUAAGGAAACAGCAGGCUGGGCUGGGCGGGGCGGGGCGGGGCGGGGCGGAAGCUUGGUAUGAAUAAGAAGUCUAAAUAAACAAGUUACUUUCUUUCUUUGCUUAUUUUUGUCUAACAAGUGUGAGAUUUUUUGUCGUGAUGUGGCUACUUGAUGUUUUAACUUUCUCUCCAUUUUACUCCUUUUGACUGAUCACAACUCAAAACUAAUCAAAUCCAGUUUAAUGCAUGUUCACUUAGUAACCAAAUUCAUAAGUAGAUAUUUUUUGUCCUUUCCUUCUGCAAAUAAUGUAGAUAUUUUAUGUCCUUUCCUUCCUGCAAAUAGUGUUCAUUUUGAGUUGUACACGUACUGAGGGGAGGUAAUAACGCAUGAAGCUAGUAAUAUUCAUUUGAAAAUUGAUAUUAUUUCCAUCAUUUCUAAACGUACUACUCACUCUGUCACUCACAUAUAAAUUAUAGUAGUAUUAAUUAUGAUUGAGACUACUGCAUUAACUUAACAAUACAAAAUUUAUUUUUCAAAGUUACUCUCACCUACCCACCAACAUUUCGAUUUUUGGGUUUUUUGCUGGAUGGGGGAAUCGAGAGAAUUGCCCGGUUGUGUUCUCCUCCUCACUCCUCUGCCUCCCUCCAAUUUCUCUCUCGUCACUCUAAAAAUCUUCAAACUAACUCUUUGCACCACUGUGUUAUUCUUCUCCUCUUCACUAUCUUCUUCCUGGGCCCUGAUAAAAGCAGAGGAGGUGGAGGUUAAUAAUAAUAAUUCAACCUUAAAGAAGCAGCAACCCAUCAUAUUUUAUUUUUAAUUCUUGGUGUUUAUAUUUAGUUCCCGUUAUUUCUUCAGAUGGCAGAGGAUUUGGACGACGGAGAGUUUUCGCUUCCCCCUAAAUUUGUUUCUGAAGACAACUUACUCAUUGAAUUUAGUAAAAUCACAGAGAAGAACAACAAUGGAAAGCUUUUUGGGGAAAACAAUGGCGGCUAAGAUUUCCCUUAUGGGUUUGGGUUGAGACUGGAGUGAUGAGGAAGAAUACCUCUGGGUUUAGUUUGAAACUCGCUCAGUCUACUCUUUCUGAUGAUUUGUGGAAAGCAGACCAUGGCUUGGGAUGUGACAAGACCAAGGUACUUAUUAUUGCUAUAUUCCUCUUUUUUUUGCUUUUUAAUUGAGUCCCAUCUCUGUCCCUUUGAAAACUACAAAUCUCGGGUUCCAUUCGAAUCAGUUUCUCAUAUUCCAGCAGCUGUUCCAAGCUAACCAAGUAAGCUUAAAGUCCUUCAAUCUUGCAAAUUUUUGAUACAUGUCCUCAAAGAACUGGAGAAACUGAUUUUUGCCUUGGAUUUCAGUUUCGGCAGUUGAAGCAGCAACAAAUGAUGAAACAACAGCAGCAGCAGAAUGGACUGGGUUGGGGACAACAACAGAUGGUUCAUAAGAACAGGGCUAGAAAUGGUAGUAAUGGGCGUCCACUGGGUUUUUCCCCGUCUGCUUGGCCUACUUUGCAACAAUCCCAGCAGCAACAGCCGACGCCGCAGUGACUCAGGGAUAAGGGCUGCAUUUCUAGAAAAAAAACCGAAACUGUGUGUUGGUUGGUGAGGGUAAUUUUGGAAAAUGAAUUUUGUAUUGUUGUUAAGUUAUUGCAUUUGUCUCAACUAUAGUUAGUUAAUAUGGAAGUGGAUAGUUUAAAUUUAAUUUUGGUUAAUUGACUAAUACAAUGUCGACACGUAAGUUGAAAAAUGAUUUUUUUCUGCGUGUCAGCAGUGUAUUGAUCAAUUGACCAACUUACUAUGAAAUUAACCGAAUACAUUAAUAUGUGGGUGUGAAAAUAUUAAUUUUUUAUUAUUUUAUAUGAUUUUGCGAACACUAAAAUAUUCUACUUGUGUUGAAGAAACUUUUUCCAUGCAUACUACUCCCGUUCCUUAAUAUAAGUUAUUUUAGAAAAAUAUUUGUGUUUUUUAAUAUAAGUCGUUUGAGAAUUUCAAGUAAGCAUUAAUUGCUUAGUUUUCAAUAUUAUGCCAAGUAUUAAAUAUAAUUUUAGUUCUCAUACUAUUUUCUGUCCAAUAAAUAACAAUCUCUUAUUCCAAUACAAGGGCAAUAUAGACAAUUAAUAUUACUCCAUAAUU
rnacentral:lncRNA from 1 species